AGUGAACGCUGGCGGUAGGCCUAUCACAUGCAAGUCGAACGGCAGCACAGUAAGAGCUUGCUCUUACGGGUGGCGAGUGGCGGACGGGUGAGGAAUACAUCGGAAUCUACUUUUUCGUGGGGGAUAACGUAGGGAAACUUACGCUAAUACCGCAUACGACCUACGGGUGAAAGCAAGGGAUCUUCGGACCUUGCGCGAUUGAAUGAGCCGAUGUCGGAUUAGCUAGUUGGCGGGGUAAAGGCCCACCAAGGCGACGAUCCGUAGCUGGUCUGAGAGGAUGAUCAGCCACACUGGAACUGAGACACGGUCCAGACUCCUACGGGAGGCAGCAGUGGGGAAUAUUGGACAAUGGGCGCAAGCCUGAUCCAGCCAUACCGCGUGGGUGAAGAAGGCCUUCGGGUUGUAAAGCCCUUUUGUUGGGAAAGAAAAGCAGCAGGUUAAUACCCCGCUGUUCUGACGGUACCCAAAGAAUAAGCACCGGCUAACUUCGUG
rnacentral:rRNA from 1 species